rnacentral:rRNA from 1 species
UCGAACGAACCCUUCGGGGUUAGUGGCGCACGGGUGCGUAACGCGUGGGAAUCUGCCUCUCGGUUCGGGAUAACAGUUGGAAACGACUGCUAAUACCGGAUGAUGACUUCGGUCCAAAGAUUUAUCGCCGAGAGAUGAACCCGCGUAGGAUUAGCUAGUUGGUGGGGUAAAGGCCUACCAAGGCGACGAUCCUUAUCUGGUCUGAGAGGAUGAUCAGCCACACUGGGACUGAGACACGGCCCAGACUCCUACGGGAGGCAGCAGUGGGGAAUAUUGGACAAUGGGCGAAAGCCUGAUCCAUCAAUGCCGCGUGAGUGAUGAAGGCCUUAUGGUUGUAAAGCUCUUUUACCCGGGAUGAUGAUGACAGUACCGGGAGAAUAAGCUCCGGCUAACUCCGUGCCAGCAGCCGCGGUAAUACGGAGGGAGCUAGCGUUGUUCGGAAUUACUGGGCGUAAAGCGCACGUAGGCGGCUAUUCAAGUCAGAGGUGAAAGCCCAGGGCUCAACCCUGGAACUGCCUUUGAAACUAGAUAGCUAGAAUCUUGGAGAGGUCAGUGGAAUUCCGAGUGUAUAGGUGAAAUUCGUAGAUAUUCGGAAUAACACCGGUGGCGAAAGCGACUGACUGGACAAGUAUUGACGCUGAGGUGCGAGAGCGUGAGGAGCAAACAGGAUUAGAUACCCUGGUAGA